AUGCGUAUCCAUUUGGAUGAAGCUUCUUCUUUCUUGGAGGAAGUGAAAAUAUGUGGGUCCCCUAUGACCUUGGUCGGUCGCAUAAUGGAACUUGAAAGGUUACUCGAGGAGAAUAAGCAGGACCCUCAUCAAAUAAAGCUUAAGUUGAAGACUCCAUCUUUUGUUGCCCAGGAUGCUAAAGCAGAGCUUGAGGAGAAGAGGGCUGCCCAAUCCAAGGAGUUAGGGGUUCCCCAAGAGGAGUAA